rnacentral:rRNA from 1 species
CAGGACGAACGCUGGCGGCGUGCCUAACACAUGCAAGUCGAACGAAGCAUAGUAAUAUGCUUAGUGGCGACGGGUGAGUAACGCGUGAACAAUCUGCCCUGUACAGAGGAAUAGACCUCGGAAACCGGGAUUAAAACCACAUGACACUUUAAAGUCGCAUGACAUUGAAGUCAAAUUGAUUAGAGGUAUAGGAUGAGUUCGCGUCUGAUUAGCUAGUUGGCGGGGUAACGGCCCACCAAGGCGACGAUCAGUAGCCGGCCUGAGAGGGUGAACGGCCACACUGGAACUGAGACACGGUCCAGACUCCUACGGGAGGCAGCAGUGGGGAAUAUUGCACAAUGGAGGAAACUCUGAUGCCAGCGACGCCGCGUGAGUGAAGAAGGUCUUCGGAUCGUAAAACUCUGUCCUUGGUGUAAGAAAGAAUGACGGUAGCCAAGGAGGAAGCCCCGGCUAACUACGUGCCAGCCGCUGC